UCAUCAAUGUCAUAAGUUCUGGUGAUUAGCAUUUUGGUUGCACAUGAUCGUGUAAAAUUUGGAAUCUGUCAUGCAGUUGAUAUUGAAUUUUGGGAUUAGAAAUGCCAGGUGAUUGAUGCCGCUAUAUAUAAAUACGAAAGGAUUUAGUUGCAUGAUUUCGGUGAUAAAAUUUUAUGCUAUUGUCAAUUUGGGCAUAUUCAUGGUAUGCUGCCAGUAACUAGUUACAAAUGCAUCUCAUAACAUCUAAUCUUGGUUAAUUUGCUUGUUGAAGCAAAAUUACCAGACUUUAUCCUCUUUUCGAGUGAUUUACUCUUCUGGAUUUAAGUCACACGCAUAAUGCAGCUAAAGCAGCAUUUAAAGCUGACAGAAAAGAUUACUGAAAGAUGAGCACAUAUGAGCUACUGCUUGCUUUCCUGGAGUCACUCGAAUAUCCCUUUUUGCUCAUUGAAUUUUGUAUUAUCUAUCUAUAUAUUUACCACAAGUACUUCCAAAUGUAAUGUUUUCUGGUCUUUUUAAUGCAUUUAUUCAAAUAUUUUAGAGCUUAGAAAUCAGUCAAAUUGACUACAAGCUUAAAUUUGACUGAUAUCAAUUAGAUGGUAUGUUGUAUAAUCUUUAUUCAUCACUGUGGUGUCAGAUUUACCAACCAAAGGACAUUGAAGAGGUUAAAGAAGUUUCAAAGACAAAGGAAGACCAGAUGAAAGAAUAUCAGUCAGCAGCAAAUCGCCUUGAUAGUGCAAGGCUGAAGGUUCAUCAUAGAAGGAAAGGGCAAUGAAUUGCGUCAUCCGGUUACGAAAGAAGUAAUUUUAGCCGAGGUUGCUAGGCAGCUUCAAGUGCACAUUGAACCUGAAAAUUUGCAAUUGCCGACUCCUUUAUCAUCUUUAGGAGAAUACGAGGUGCCGCUUCGCCUACCAAAGUCCGUUCCUAGGCCACAAGGAAAAGUUCAAUGGACUCUCAGCAUCAAAAUUAGGAAACGGUAAAGGGACCUUGGCCAUUUGAAUGAUUACGGCGUUUUUUCUUUUCUUUUCUUUUUUUAUCGUUUUAACUUGUAGAAUUAGAGAAUAAUUAUUACUAUGAGUUUUGGAACAGAUUGAACAUAUGUAUCUAUCAUCAUUUUGUAUCCUUGACCAUUGAAAGUCGUCUCAUUU